UACAGAGGGUGCAAGCGUUGUUCGGAAUUCUUGGGCGUAAAGCGCGUGUAGGCGGCUUUGCAAGUCGGGUGUGAAAGCCCUCGGCUCAACCGAGGAAGUGCGCCCGAAACUGCAGAGCUUGAGUACCGGAGAGGAUGGCGGAAUUCCCCAAGUAGAGGUGAAAUUCGUAGAUAUGGGGAGGAACACCGGUGGCGAAGGCGGCCACCUGGACGGUAACUGACGCUGAGACGCGAAAGCGUGGGGAGCAAACAGG
rnacentral:rRNA from 1 species